CAGCGGAGGCUGAAAAGGAGUUUGUGGCUGAAGGGAGAUUGGCACUGAAGACUUCCUGAUUUGGACUUCCAGAGCAAUGUGAGAUGCUACGCUGCAGGAGCUGAAAUGUUUGAGGACAAAUCCAACUAGGUGAGGCCGCCGGCUCUGUGCCAAGAACAUGGGAAGGCCCUCCUGGGUCAGGCCACGGCGGAUCCGUCUCAUCUCCCAGCAGAGGACAACCAGAUGUCCCCAGGGUGCCCACAAGCAGGGCUUGGAGGAGCCGCCCCAGCCUGCAUCCCAGCCUGCACAGGAGCUGGCUACUAGAGAUAGUCUGGAGCACAAGAAGGCGAGAAACAUUCUGCAAACAAUGGAUCCAGCAACAACACAUGCAGAUUAUUACCUGGUUUUCUGGAAAUUGCAAGGAUCCCCAAGGUUGUUCACCGAAAUUUGGCUCCAGUCCUGACCUCCUGGCUUGACCCCCUGGGCUGUUUCUGGCUCCCUCCGCCUCAGCUCAUCGGAGACGUUCUACACAUUGGGCCACUAAAAUCAUCACAUUAGACUCCUCAUUUUAGCCGAAGACUCCAGUGGAGAGGUGUUCCGGGAUGCCAGCAGCCUGAUGCGAAGUGUGCUGCUGCGGCUGGCAGGCUCCGCAGCUGAUCCCUGCAGGAGAGACGCUCUUCUGGACACGAGAUGGAGCAGAAGCACAGCAGACCCCCUUGCCUGAGGUGCCACCGAGUGCCAAGGUUCUGCAGAGUGAGCGGCGUCUGCCACCCUCUGGGGGUAGGGACUGAACUGGCCAACUUUGUAUAUAUGCCCAGAACUGCAUAUUAACCCAUCGAUGUCCUCUCCCUUGCAGCUAAAAAGAAAGAGGAGGGGGAGGGUCUUCUUGGCGGUGGCACCAUCGUGUCUUUUGGCAUGGCCGCUGGAGGUCCUUAUUCACCCAUGUGUUUCAGAAUUGUGUUUGUGUUUUUGGUUGUACUGUGCUGUGUUUGCUGUGUUCUAUUGUCAGCUGCCCAGAGACCAGUUAUCUGGCAGCCAAUAAAGCAUUUGUUAAAAUAAAAUAUGGCAUUUUGUUCCUCCAUUAUUUAAAAGUUCACUGUGGCAUGAGUGAGUGUGAUAGGUGUGUGGUCUGCUGCAUUUCCGACCUGACCUUAAUAGCUUUAAGCUGGUUUUCCCUCAACCCUUCUGUCAUUUGAUUUUUUCUCCUCCACUGCCCCUUUGACCCACUGCCCCAUUGCCCCUUUGACCCACUGCCCCAUUGCCCCUUUGACCCACUGCCCCUUUGACCCACUGCCCCAUUGCCCCACUGCCCCAUUGCCCCACUGCCCCUUUGUAACUUUGACCCAUCCACCCUUUCACUCUUGUAACUUUGUAACUUUGUAACUUUGUAACUUUGUAACUUUGUAACUUUGUAACUUUGUAACUUUGUAACUUUGUAACUUUGUAACUUUGUAACUUUGUAACUUUGUAACUUUGUAACUUUGUAACUUUGUAACUUUGUAACUUUGUAACUUUGUAACUUUGUAACUUUGUAACUUUGUAACUUUGUAACUUUGUAACUUUGUAACUUUGUAACUUUGUAACUUUGUAACUUUGUAACUUUGUAACUUUGUAACUUUGUAACUUCGUAACUUCGUUUCACCCAUCCACCCACUGUAACUUUGUGUCAUUUACUAUUAUUUAUCUCUCUUUUGGUCAUUGACCAUAAAUAAAGUAAUCUGAAUCUGAA